rnacentral:rRNA from 1 species
UACGGAGGGAGCUAGCGUUGUUCGGAAUUACUGGGCGUAAAGCGCGCGUAGGCGGCUUUGUAAGUUAGAGGUGAAAGCCCGGGGCUCAACUCCGGAACUGCCUUUAAGACUGCAUCGCUUGAAUCCGGGAGAGGUGAGUGGAAUUCCGAGUGUAGAGGUGAAAUUCGUAGAUAUCGUAAGGAAGACCAGUGGCGAAGGCGGGUCUCUGGACAGUUCCUGACGCUGAGGCACGAAGGCCAGGGGAGCAAACGGG